rnacentral:rRNA from 1 species
AAAAAAAACAACGCACAAUGCAUCGAUUCGACCCCAAACGACCAUUCGGUAUUCGCUCUUUCCCCAUUAAGCACCAGGACCAUCGGCGGCGCGAUUUCAAACCAAAUCCCUCCUCCCGAAACCUUUUCAGCAAUCGCCACUCGCGAAUCCCUCACCGCCAGAACCCUAGGAAGCUUCUAGAACCCCUGCGAGGCCAGCGAGAUGCUACUCCGGACUCCACCGCAGCGGAAGCGGCGGGCCGACCCCGACCCCAACCUCGACCUCGACCUCGCCGCCGCCGUCGCCGUCGCCACCGGACGGACCCCCGUCUCCGACCGCCGCCUCGUGCCCUACGACCGCCCCACGGCCCUCGUGUCCGCCUCCGGCACCGAGGAGCCCUCCGACGACAUGGUCUGCACAUACCACUGCCGUCAGAUGGUGAAAUCGGAGUUCGUGGUGGCACUGGACACCGCGGAGAAGGCGGUUCAGGAGUAUCGAGUAAAGCUUGACACAUUGGAGAAACAGUUAUCUAAGAGUGAGGAUGAAAGGACUACAUAUCAUGAUAAACUGAACUAUGUUGAACAAGAACUAGCAGCAACAAAAGGGCGGGAGACUGCAUUGCAAGAACGGUUAUUGAAGGAGCUGGGCGAGUAUCAGGAGCGAUACCGGCAGCAAGUCAAGAAGAUAGGGGAACUUGAGAUUAAACUCAAUAAAGAGAUUGAUUCUCGAAUUAGCGCUGAAUCAUCUUCAGCAUCUGCAAAGGAGUCGGUCAAGGAGUUGGAACGGGCUAUGCAGCGGUCAUCAGAAAAUUCAGAAAGGGAGAAGAAAGCCCUUCAGAAGGAACUUUCAUAUAUGAAAGAUGACUCUAAACUAUCCAUCUCUAAACUUAAUGCUGAGCUUGAAAGAAUGAGCCUCAGGGCGCAAAACUCUGAGAAGGAAGCAAAGAUGUUAAAUGAGCAGUUGGAGGACUUGAAAAAGCAAUUAAAUGAGUGUCUUCGCGAAAAGAACGAAACCGAGCUCAGACUACUGGAUUCUGCUCCUUUGUCUGUUCAGCGUAAUCCAACAGAUGAUCAGAAGUUAAUAAAACUUUUGCAAGAGGAGCUCCGGAACUAUGAAAAAGAAGUGCACGAAGCUAGAAGAUUAAAAUCUUCCCACACAAAUGUUGAGCUGCUAAGUGAAAAGCUGUUGGAGGAGCAGAGUCGAAGGAAACGAGCCGAAACAGAACUAUCUAAGCUGCAAGAAAUCGAAGCUAAAGCACAGAAGUUGGAGCUGGAAUUAGCGUCAUGUACAUCAUUACUUGGCAACAUACCUGAUGUGUCUUCUUACAGCAACAUUGCAGAUUUGCAAAGGCAAGCAUUGACAGACUUGAAUAAAUUGGGUGAAGUAACAUCACGGUUGAAAGAAUUGGAGGUUACGUUGGAAUUUGCUGAGAUCAGCAAGCAACGUGCAGAAGGUGAAGCUACCCUUGCCAAAGAGAGAGCUGAAAGUGCUAGCAGGGAGGUCAAGCGCCUUGAACUUCUGCUUACUGCAGUGAGUGAAGAAAGAGAUAGAUUACGAAAAGAUCAUAAUAUGUUAUCUAACCAAAAAACUAGGGAUGGAGAUGACAUGUCAUCCAAGAAAAUGGAGUCAGAUCUAUCUCAAAUGGAAAAGGUAGUAAGAGAACUAGAGACCACUCUACACGAGCAGAGAGAACUAAUUAGUCAACAACAUGCGGAGCUCAAUCUAAUGAAUGAGAAAUUGAGCAUUGAAGCAAGAAAAGCAAAAUCAUUGGAGCGAGAGGGAGAUCAACUGCGCUCUCAGGUGGCAUUACUCGAGUCUAAGCUGGGUCAUGGGGAUUACUCUGCCUCAAGCACAAAAGUACUUCGUAUGGUGAAUACUCUUGCAAUGGAUAGUGAAGCAAAGCAGACAAUAGAAGCACUGCAAGCUGAGUUAAAGAAAACAAAAGAGAGGCUGCAGGCAAUCGAAGAACUAAAAGGGCAAGCUGAUGCUGGAACUGUAGUAGAUGCAAAUGUUGCAGAAAAGCUAGCACAGCUUAAAAAUCAAGUUGCCACACUAGAGAAACGUGAAGAAAGAUACAAGGCAGUGUUUCUGGAGAGGAUCUCAGUCUUCCGAAAGGCUUGCUGCUCGCUUUUUGGUUAUCAGAUAGUGAUGAAUGAUGAGCAGCAGCCAAAUGGGAUUCAUGUAACACGAUUUACUCUGCAAUCAGUAUAUGCCCAAACCGAUGAUGAAAAACUCGAGUUUCUCUAUGAAUCAGGAAGCACCAAUAUAGUGGUCAAUGGCUACACUUCUCAACAUGAGAUUGCUCAGCAGGUUGAUAUUUUCAUAAGAAAGAUGAAUUCCAUCCCAGCCUUCACUGCUAACCUGACAAUGGAAUCCUUCAACAAGAGAAGUAUAUGUUGAGGGCCAAAAUGAGUGAGAAAUCAUAUUCCUCUAUUAUGUUUGUAGCAUACCUGUGAAAUUGCAAUGCAUUGGCGGUUAACAGAAGUGUGCUCACGCAACCUAUCAGGUCAUCUUUUUGGGGGAGGGAUUACUUGCAGUCGUAUGUGGAAGGAUUCAUCAAAUUCAAAUUCCAGCAUAUGAAGAAGUUGAGUGGAAGGCUGGUGCUGACGGUAUGGUACUAUCAGAUGAAUGCCAUUUUAGUUUGAACAAUGUAAAUACGAGCGCAUACAAUGUAAUCCCUGUGAGUUUUGUGAACUAGCAACUUGAUAAUGUCACAUCUUUUGUGUGGGGAAAAAGCAUCAAAUCGUACCGUGCAGUUUUUUUUUUUCCUAUGACAACGCACCGCAGUCAGUUACUUCAGUGAAUCACUAUCCAUUGAGCUAGUUUUAUCCGUGGCAUGCUACGAUCAUCCACGGGUGCUUAUGCGUGUUGGAGCAGCCUCUGUAACUCUUUUUUUUUGACAGCCUUUGUAACUCUUUGC